rnacentral:lncRNA from 1 species
CACGCGGAUGAAGAGACUAGUCAGAGCACGUACGUUAGUGAAUUGUCUCAAAUAAGAGAGGACGAAAGGAAACGCACCUCGCACUUUCUGUCACACACGCGGCAGGCUCUACAGACGAGUCUGGCCAGAGGCGCUUUAGGUCCUUACCGAGACGAGGGCGCAGACGGAACGAACAUUUUGUCUGUCACGGUACAGCAAGCCACCGAGAGAAGGACUACAGAUAAACGCGACUGCAUCUGGAAAAAAUAUGCCUUAACAAUUACUAGCGGUUUGGGAAGUCCGCCUGGGUGUCUACUGGCUCCGUUACUGUCGUUCUUUUAAAAUCUUAAUUUAUCUGGGGUUUUUUGCUCUCGGAGCCAGCGAGUGGCACGUUACGGGAUGUGUUACGGGAUUUGAAGAUGGAGUUUUCCUCUCCGGUAGUGGAUACGGAGCAGUUCCUCGUCUCAUCCACCGGUUCAUCUAAGAGUCCCGCCGUUAGAUACUACUCCAACCCGCCACCGGCGCCACCAGCCCCAUUAAUUACCCCACAGGUGCGCUCUUCCUCCUUCAGACCCCUCCGCGCGGCUAGGUCGGGUCAAGACCUCGCGAAAACUCCACAUCGUAGUUCGACGAAAGCCAUCAAUUGCCAGAACAAUAUAGGCUAGGCUGCAGGUCCCAUCCCUGCUCCCUACCCACAAUAGGUUCAAUAUUGGAGGGCCACUCGGCUGUCCGCUUCACGAGGAAACGUGUUUGUGUUCCUCCCACGCCGAUGUGAGUUUUUUUCUUUCCUUUUUUUUUUUUCUCCUUCCUUCACAUGCUUUUGUUUUUUUAUUGACUCGCCACUUGCCUGUCGUGGUCAUUUAUUCUCCAUCCCUCCUUCCUUUCCUUAAGUCUGUUGGUACUCCCACCAUCUCCAUGUAACUCGGUCUCAGUCUGCACCUACUCCAUUUCUAACUCCCCCGCUUCUGUCAGUUCAGGUCGGUGUACACAGCUCUGUUGUGACGAGCCGAAGCAGAGGUGCCCAUCAAUGUUCAAAAACAAUGGAGUGAGUGAGUGAGUGGGAGAGAGAGAGAGAGAAUGUAUAAAAACAUCAAGACAUUAAAAAAAAAAAUGAACAAGUAGCACAAAUGUCAGACUGUCGUCGGUCUUCGGUAAAUGAAAAUGGAGAAACUAGAGCCGUAAGGCCAUAGUUUGUUUUGGAGCCAGUGUCCCGAGGCUGUUG